AAGAAAAGAAAAGACAAAACCAGACGAGUUGGGCCUGUCAGAGUUAACCACGUUCACAGAAUGUAAUUAAGUGCCGGGAAGGUUCUGUGCUGUGUUCUCUGAUUUACUGCUUCGUUCCGGGGACGGCUCUUCCACGGGGCGAACGCUGUGGGGUCGGGGCGCCGGGGGAGCCGAGAUGGGGCGGCGGGCGCCUGUUCCGAUCCCGGGCUGGGCGCUCGGGUCUACGGCUUGGCACCGCCGCGCGCCGGGUGGCGAGCGCAACGCGCUCAGCGGAGGCCACACCUGCACCUCAUUUGCUUGCGAGCAGCGCCAUAACCCGCCUGCUGAUGGGGCGCCUUCUCUUUCAUUCUCCGGAUUAUGACAAGUUAUUAAUUGCCGCCAUUAGCCGCAGCAGCCUGCGCGAGAUCUCUGCUGCUCUCUGGAGCACUGUACCCAGCACUGCAUGAUCAAAGACAAGACUACUCACUGCCCUCAGAAGCUG
rnacentral:lncRNA from 1 species